CCAGAGUGGCUAACAGAAGAAAACAUAUUGGAGAAAAAAUUUCUGAAGCACUGAUUUGUACUCCAAUUUGAUCUCUGAGGCUUAUUUAUCUUUAUUGCUGCAUUUUUCUUUCCUCCUGUUUCACUGUAUAAAGAGUUUCUAUGUAUCCACUUCAAGUCACAAACUUUUGCACUUAAUAGAUCUUCUCUUACGAUGGCUUUUCUUCUUAUACAGCUUUUAGAAUUUUCAUGACAGGAGACCUGUUUCUCAAAUGAGUUUUCAUUUUUCUUGUCUUUUGUUUCUCUCAGCUGUUUUUUUAC
rnacentral:lncRNA from 1 species